UACGUAGGGAGCAAGCGUUUGUCCGGAAUCAUUGGGCGUAAAGCGCGCGUAGGCGGCCUCAUAAGUCCGUUGUGAAAGUCAAAGGCUCAACCUUUUGAAAGCCGAUGGAUACUGUGAGGCUAGAGUCCGGAAGAGGCGAGUGGAAUUCCUGGUGUAGCGGUGGAAUGCGCAGAUAUCAGGAGGAACACCAAUAGCGAAGGCAGCUCGCUGGGACGGUACUGACGCUGAGACGCGAAAGCGUGGGGAGCGAACAGG
rnacentral:rRNA from 1 species